CAGCAGCCGCGGUAAUACGAAGGGUGCAAGCGUUAAUCGGAAUUACUGGGCGUAAAGCGUGCGUAGGCGGUGAGUUAAGUCUGAUGUGAAAUCCCCGGGCUCAACCUGGGAACUGCAUUUGUGACUGGCAAGCUAGAGUGUGGCAGAGGGGGGUGGAAUUCCGCGUGUAGCGGUGAAAUGCGUAGAGAUCUGGAGGAAUACCGAUGGCGAAGGCAGCCAUCUGGCCUAAUACUGACGCUGAGGUACGAAAGCAUGGGGAGCAAACAGGAUUAGAUACCCGCGUAGUCCCUGUCUCUUAUAC
rnacentral:rRNA from 1 species